rnacentral:rRNA from 1 species
GAUGAACGCUGGCGGCGUGCCUAAUACAUGCAAGUCGAGCGAACAGACGAGGAGCUUGCGCCUUUGACGUUAGCGGCGGACGGGUGAGUAACACGUGGAGAACCUACCUAUAAGACUGGGAUAACUUCGGGAAACCGGAGCUAAUACCGGAUAACAUGUUGAACCGCAUGGUUCAACAGUGAAAGACGGUCUUGCUGUCACUUAUAGAUUGAUCCGCGCCGCAUUAGCUAGUUGGUAAGGUAACGGCUUACCAAGGCAACGAUGCGUAGCCGACCUGAGAGGCUGAUCGGCCACACUGGAACUGCGACACGGUCAAGACUCCUACGGGAGGCAGCAGUAGGGAAUCUUCCGCAAUGGGCGAAAGCCUGACGGAGCAACGCCGCGUGAGUGAAGAAGGUCUUCGGAUCGUAAAACUCUGUUAUUAGGGAAGAACAAAUGUGUAAGUAACUAUGCACGUCUUGACGGUACCUAAUCAAAAAGCCACGGCUAACUACGUG